GCCUGGCUGGCUCAGUCCGUAGAGCAUGUGACUUUUGAUCUCGGGGUCAUGAGAUCGAAUCCCUUGUAGGGUU
rnacentral:tRNA from 1 species